AAGAGCAGGUCUAAAGGGGAAGGAGGGUGUGUGGUCAGAGGAGAAGCAGAGUAAAGGGAGGGGCCUACUUUAGAGAGAACCUAGAACCGGAAGAUUAGACACUGCUGCCAAGCCUGCUCUGGGAUUGGACAGUCAAAAGGGCGGGUAAAAAAGGCUUAGUGGCGGGCACGCGCCUUAGUAACUGGAUGGAAAGUGAGCUGGUGUAAUUUUCUCUCAUUUUCCAGGCUGCUCGCAAGGGAGUCAGCUGAAGGCGCAGACUUCGCUCUUUCUCUGUCUUUCCUGACUCUGGCCCGGGGUUCCCCAGGCUCAACUGCUGCUCCACCGCUGAGGACAGCCCUGUCUCAGGAAGGAACCAUGAAAGAGGGAGCAAGCACCAAGCGCGGUCAUUCCCUGACUGUGACACUUUUACUUCUCCUGAGCUUCCUGCAAACCACUCUGUCCCAUGUGGAUUCCUUGGAACACAGAGGAUACUCCUUGAAGCCUGUGGUCUUUGCUGAGGGAGAGGUGGCAGCUUCCUGGAGAAUUGACCUGUCACUUCCUCUAGAUGAGAUAAGAUUUCCACAACCACCUAGAGAAGAGGAGAAGCCCCCUCACAGGGUAGGGAGGGAAGCGAUGUGUCCCUGCUAUGCAGCUCUCAAAACACAGGGACUUGUGAUGUCCCUGCAGCAAUGUCUCACUUCUGUAUAUCAGGUCUGACUGUGACUGUCCACUUUGUAACCUGGAGGGAAGGAGCUCACCUCAUGGUGUCUCCCUGAGGCCUGAUGCACCUUCUGACAGCCCAGUACCUGAGGCCUCUCUGUCACAGAACCCUGUGCCAUGCCGGGAGUCAGGCUGCCCUCUCUAAGAGGACCUGAAGGCCUACAGUGACACCUAAGACACUGUGGGUGUUGAUACCUCUCUGGGCAGGAACUGGAUUGGCAUGCAUGUCUCUGAUUUAGGCAGCUGAUUAUCUAAUUGGAUAAUCCAGUAGUGUUAAUCCAAUUAGAAACUGUCACUAA